UUGCGCGCGGUCUGCUAUACAGGGCAGAUAUCCACGUAAGGAGUCUCUGACCGCAGCCCAGCCGUCUCAGUGUCGCCAGCAUGUAUGUCCAGUUGACCCGGUCAAAUGCUUUUUCCGCAUCGGUUGAUAGCAGUAGUAACUGGGUCCCCAAUUUCCUUGCGUGGUGCUGGAUAGAGAAGAGUCUUAGGGUGCUGUCUCUAGCUUCUCAGCCUGGGAUGAAUCCAGUCUGGUCCGCGUGUAUCAAAUCGGGAAGGAGAUGUUUAAGUCUGGUUGCUAGAACUUUCGUGAAUAGUUUGGCGUCUACGUUUAACAGUGAGAUCGGGUGGUAACUGCCGCACUGUAACGGGUCCUUCCCUGGUUUAAGUAAAACUGUGAUGGUGGCUGCUAGGGAUUCCCUUCCCAGGUUCCCUCCCUCGCCUACAGAGUUGAGUGCCUUGGUCAGCCAAGGCAGCAAUACUCCCGAAAAGCUUUUAUAAUAGCCCGUGGAGAAGCCAUCUGGCCCAGGAGCCUUGCCGGUUUUGGAUGUCUUAAGGGUUGCGGCUAGUUCUUCCGUGGUGAUUGGUGUGUCCAAUAUGGAUGCAGUGUCCUGGUCGAUCGUGUUCAUGACCGU